rnacentral:rRNA from 1 species
AUGAACGCUGGCUGCGUGCCUAAUACAUGCAAGUCGAGCGAACGGACGAGAAGCUUGCUUCUCUGAUGUUAGCGGCGGACGGGUGAGUAACACGUGGAUAACCUACCUAUAAGACUGGGAUAACUUCGGGAAACCGGAGCUAAUACCGGAUGAUAUUUUGAACCGCAUGGUUCAAAAGUGAAAGACGGUCUUGCUGUCACUUAUAGAUGGAUCCGCGCUGCAUUAGCUAGUUGGUAAGGUAACGGCUUACCAAGGCAACGAUGCAUAGCCGACCUGAGAGGGUGAUCGGCCACACUGGAACUGAGACACGGUCCAGACUCCUACGGGAGGCAGCAGUAGGGAAUCUUCCGCAAUGGGCGAAAGCCUGACGGAGCAACGCCGCGUGAGUGAUGAAGGUCUUCGGAUCGUAAAACUCUGUUAUUAGGGAAGAACAUAUGUGUAAGUAACUGUGCACAUCUUGACGGUACCUAAUCAGAAAGCCACGGCUAACUACGUG